GGGCUGCGGUAAUUUGACCGUGCGAAGGUAGCAUAAUCAAUAGUCUUUUAAUUGAUGACUGGAAUGAAUGGCGUCACGAGAAAUAAGCUGUCUUAAAGUUAAAAAUUGAAUUUUACUUUCGAAUGAAAAGGUUCGAAUGUUAUUAAGGGACGAUAAGACCCUAUAAAACUUGACAUUAUAAGAAAAUUUUAGAUAUAAAGUAGAAAUAAAAUUUUUAUUAUUUUGUUUGGUUGGGGCGACCGAGAUAUAAGAAGUAGCUGUCUAUAAAUAAAAAUAAUUAUAAUUUGUGUAAAGAACCUUUAUUAAGGAUUAUAAAAUUAAGUUACUUUAGGGAUAACAGCGUAAUUUUUUCAGAGAGUUCUUAUCGAAGAUAAUAGUUGCGACCUCGAUGUUGAAUUAAAAUUUCUUUCAGGUGUAGUAGCUUGGAUAGUAAGGUCUGUUCGACCUUUAAAAUUU
rnacentral:rRNA from 1 species